UCCUGGUUAACCCAGGCAGUCUCACUAGAGUUCCCACCUUAAAUGUUGGCAACUAGUGAUAAGGGUUGCGCUCGUUGCGGGACUUAACCCAACACCUCACGGCACGAGCUGACGACAGCCAUGCAGCACCUGUGCAGAGGCCCCGAAGGGAGAUCCUAUCUCUAGGACUGUCCUCUGCAUGUCAAGCCUGGGUAAGGUUCUUCGCGUUGCAUCGAAUUAAACCACAUGCUCCACUGCUUGUGCGGGUCCCCGUCAAUUCUUUUGAGUUUCAGCCUUGCGACUGUACUCCCCAGGCGGUAUACUUAUCGCGUUCGCUUCGGCACAGCCAGGGUUGAGUCCAGCUACACCAAGUAUACAUCGUUUACGGCAAGGACUAC
rnacentral:misc_RNA from 1 species